rnacentral:lncRNA from 1 species
GCGCGAGAGUUCCACCCAAAUCCCGCGAGAUUCGCCUGCUGCCGCGGCUGCCGCCUCUUACGUCUUUCCCUUUGCGACAAGUCGUAGCCGCUGCAGCAGAAAUAAAGGACUCGGCCGCCACCACAGCCUCUGCCGAGCAGGGUCGGGUCGCUGGAGCCGCGCCCCACCUCCGCCACUCCACUGCCGCCCACGAUGCACAGGGUGUGGUGCAGCUGCUGUGGUAGAAGGGGAGAAUUUGUGUUCUCAGGCCUUCCAAACUGAAGCAGCUUCAAAGGAUACCCCAAAUCACUUGUCCCAAGGCUGUGAUAAACAACAAACAGGAAACGUGCUUAUCCUGCUGAAGAUGGAGAUCAAAAGCAAACUCUUACAGUGA